CGCGUAGGCGGCUUACAUAGUCAGGCGUGAAAUUCCUGGGCUCAACCUGGGGGCUGCGUUUGAUACGUGUAGGCUUGAGUUCGGAAGAGGGUCGUGGAAUUCCCAGUGUAGAGGUGAAAUUCGUAGAUAUUGGGAAGAACACCGGUGGCGAAGGCGGCGACCUGGUCCGAAACUGACGCUGAGGCGCGAAAGCGUGGGGAGCAAACAGGAUUAGAUACCCUGGUAGUCCACGCUGUAAACGAUGUGUGCUGGAUGUUGGGUGACCUAGUCACGCAGUGUCGUAGCUAACGCGAUAAGCACACCGCCUGGGGAGUACGGCCGCAAGGUUGAA
rnacentral:rRNA from 1 species